AUUGAACGCUGGCGGCAGGCCUAACACAUGCAAGUCGAACGGAGCGGCGGACGGGAGAGGAAUGCCUAGGAAUCGGCCUGGUCGUGGGGGAUAACGUCCGGAACCGGGAGCUAAUACCGCAUACUAUCAGAUGAACAUAGGUGGGAUUGGCUAGAUGGUGGGGUAGAGGCCGCCCACGGCGACGAUCCGUAACUGGUCUGAGAGGAUGAUCAGUCACACUGGAACUGAGACACGGUCCAGACUCCUACGGGAGGCAGCAGUGGGGAAUAUUGGACAAUGGGCGCAAGCCUGAUCCAGCCAUGCCGCGUGUGUGAAGAAGGUCUUCGGAUUGUAAAGCACUUUAAGUUGGGAGGCGUUACCCACAGAAUAAGCACCGGCUAACUUCGUGCCAGCAGCCGCGGUAAUAC
rnacentral:rRNA from 1 species